UGCAUAAAUCCUAAUGGAUCCGGCUAUUUGGCACGCAGGCUCAUAACCUGAAGGUCGUAGGUUCAAAUCCUACUCCCGCAACCA
rnacentral:tRNA from 1 species